rnacentral:rRNA from 1 species
UACGUAGGUGGCAAGCGUUGUCCGGAAUUAUUGGGCGUAAAGCGCGCGCAGGCGGCCUUUUAAGUCUGAUGCGAAAGCCCACGGCUCAACCGUGGAAGGUCAUUGGAAACUGAAAGGCUUGAGUACAGAAGAGGAAAGCGGAAUUCCACGUGUAGCGGUGAAAUGCGUAGAGAUGUGGAGGAACACCAGUGGCGAAGGCGGCUUUCUGGUCUGUAACUGACGCUGAGGCGCGAAAGCGUGGGGAGCAAACAGG